ACGAAGUUAUUUGAGCUUGCUUAGAUAACUUAGUGGCGGACGGGUGAGUAACACGUGAGCAAUCUGCCUUUCAGAGGGGGAUACCGAUUGGAAACGAUCGUUAAUACCGCAUAACAUAGUAAAUUCGCAUGUUUUUACUAUCAAAGAUUUAUCGCUGAAAGAUGAGCUCGCGUCUGAUUAGGUAGUUGGUGAGGUAACGGCCCACCAAGCCGACGAUCAGUAGCCGGACUGAGAGGUUGAACGGCCACAUUGGGACUGAGACACGGCCCAGACUCCUACGGGAGGCAGCAGUGGGGAAUAUUGCACAAUGGAGGAAACUCUGAUGCAGCGAUGCCGCGUGAGGGAAGAAGGUUUUCGGAUUGUAAACCUCUGUGUACAGGGACGAUAAUGACGGUACCUGUUCAGAAAGCUCCGGCUAACUACGUGCCAGCAGCCGCGGUAAUACGUAGGGAGCGAGCGUUGUCCGGAAUUACUGGGUGUAAAGGGAGUGUAGGCGGGACGGCAAGUCAGAUGUGAAAUUUAGGGGCUCAACCCCUGACCUGCAUUUGAAACUGCUGUUCUUGAGUGAAGUAGAGGUAAGCGGAAUUCCUAGUGUAGCGGUGAAAUGCGUAGAUAUUAGGAGGAGCAUCAGUGGCGAAGGCGGCUUACUGGGCUUUAACUGACGCUGAGGCUCGAAAGCGUGGGGAGCAAACAGGAUUAGAUACCCUGGUAGUCCACGCCGUAAACGAUGAUUACUAGGUGUGGGGGGACUGACCCCUUCCGUGCCGCAGUUAACACAAUAAGUAAUCCACCUGGGGAGUACGGUCGCAAGACUGAAACUCAAAGGAA
rnacentral:rRNA from 1 species